GAAGAGCCAUGAUUCUCAGGUAAUAAAAUAAUGGGAAGAAUAAUGCCUUGCACUUACACAGUCCUGCACGGGAAGUGGCAAAUAAGGACAGUGGCUGCAUCUGUGUAGGAAUAAACCCCAAGCCAGGCUCAAAGCCAGCUCUGCUGUUCUUCUGUUGCUGCAGCAGCCUGAGCCAGCUCUGGGGUGAGCCGCCUGGCACGUCCCAAAGGGGAGAACUUGGUGUGCUCUCUACACUUUUCAGCACUCCUACAGCAUAUGUGGGGCCCAGAGCUCUUUCUGCAAAACUCUGUGCUUCCUUCUGCCCCAUCUGCCUGUGGGAUGGUGCUGUGCAAUUGAUGCUGGCCAGACAAGAUUGGCAGAGGUCUUUUCUAGAAGGCUGUUCUCUCCACCUCACUGCACAGAGAAAACACCCCAGAGUAUCCUGUUCAGAGCCACUUCCUUACCCUACAUCCCAGUGGAUGCAGCUUCUGAAAGGAAGCAGAGUCGGCAAGGAUGGAGUGCUUUUGGGAAUCAUUCCCAGCAUGUGGAGACUGCAGUCUGCAGCAAGCAAGGGCAGCUCCCUCAGCAAGUGGAAAAUGGGCUUCACCUCCGUGCGGUCUCCCUGUGGUUUGCUUCCCUUGCGAUAUUAUUUUUGA
rnacentral:lncRNA from 1 species